rnacentral:rRNA from 1 species
UCCAGACUCCUACGGGAGGCAGCAGUGGGGAAUAUUGCACAAUGGGCGCAAGCCUGAUGCAGCCAUGCCGCGUGUGUGAAGAAGGCCUUAGGGUUGUAAAGCACUUUCAGCGAGGAGGAAGGCAUCAUACUUAAUACGUGUGGUGAUUGACGUUACUCGCAGAAGAAGCACCGGCUAACUCCGUGCCAGCAGCCGCGGUAAUACGGAGGGUGCAAGCGUUAAUCGGAAUUACUGGGCGUAAAGCGCACGCAGGCG